rnacentral:rRNA from 1 species
GACGAACGCUGGCGGCGUGCCUAAUACAUGCAAGUAGAACGCUGAAGGAGGAGCUUGCUCUUCUGGAUGAGUUGCGAACGGGUGAGUAACGCGUAGGUAACCUGCCUGGUAGCGGGGGAUAACUAUUGGAAACGAUAGCUAAUACCGCAUAACAGUAGAUGUUGCAUGACAUUUGCUUAAAAGGUGCAAUUGCACCACUACCAGAUGGACCUGCGUUGUAUUAGCUAGUUGGUGGGGUAACGGCUCACCAAGGCGACGAUACAUAGCCGACCUGAGAGGGUGAUCGGCCACACUGGGACUGAGACACGGCCCAGACUCCUACGGGAGGCAGCAGUAGGGAAUCUUCGGCAAUGGACGGAAGUCUGACCGAGCAACGCCGCGUGAGGGAAGAAGGUUUUCGGAUCGUAAAGCUCUGUUGUAAGAGAAGAACGAGUGUGAGAGUGGAAAGUUCACACUGUGACGGUAUCUUACCAGAAAGAGACGGCUAACUACGUG